rnacentral:rRNA from 1 species
UGCGUAGGCGGAAUAAUAAGUCAGUUGUGAAAGUUUGCGGCUCAACCGUAAAAUUGCAGUUGAUACUGUUAUUCUUGAGUGUACAUAAGGUAGGCGGAAUUCGUGGUGUAGCGGUGAAAUGCUUAGAUAUCACGAAGAACUCCAAUUGCGAAGGCAGCUUACCGGGGUACAACUGACGCUGAGGCACGAAAGUGUGGGUAUCAAACA